rnacentral:rRNA from 1 species
AACGAACGCUGGCGGCAUGCCUAACACAUGCAAGUCGAACGAGACCUUCGGGUCUAGUGGCGCACGGGUGCGUAACGCGUGGGAACCUGCCCUUAGGUUCGGAAUAACUCCCCGAAAGGGGUGCUAAUACCGGAUAAUCUCUUCGGACCAAAGAUUUAUCGCCUUUGGAUGGGCCCGCGUUGGAUUAGCUAGUUGGUAGGGUAAAGGCCUACCAAGGCGACGAUCCAUAGCUGGUCUGAGAGGAUGAUCAGCCACACUGGGACUGAGACACGGCCCAGACUCCUACGGGAGGCAGCAGUGGGGAAUAUUAGACAAUGGGCGAAAGCCUGAUCUAGCAAUGCCGCGUGAGUGAUGAAGGCCUUAGGGUUGUAAAGCUCUUUUAGCCGGGAAGAUAAUGACAGUACCGGGAGAAUAAGCCCCGGCUAACUCCGUG